CUCAAAGUAAGGUCUAUUAGAAUGGUUAUGUGGUUUUUUUUUGUUUUUUGGGUUUUUUUUUUUUUUGCAGUAAUAGUCCAGCUGUGCUGGUUCAGGCAACAAGUGGAGAGUUGGAUUUAAUUGUGUGUGAUGUUUGAGCAGGUGAGCAUGAUGAAGAGAGAGAGGAAGGUGAGAUAUGGGCUUAUGCAAGGGGGUGAUACCAAUAAUAAACUGGGUACAGAGGAAAUGAGGAUAUAGUGACGGUGAGGCACCUUAAAAGGAUCGCUGGAUUACUGGACACUUUGGAGUGGUAGCAAAGAACUGUUGGAAGAGUUCUAGAGGUAAUGAGCUGGAAGGAUAGCAGCUGGUUUCCAGGGACUACCUAGUUUAAAUUAAAACUAUGGGAGGUGGGGAUGGUGGUUUUUCAAUGAGCCAAUUUGGUCCAGCUGAACCACCUUACCUUCUGGCGUGUUUGUAUUUAGGGGGAGGGUGGGAUCAAGGCAACAGUCAUCUUGUUUUUAUGCUCAAAAACAGGGUGCGUGCUUUGUAGCUCAUGUACAUUGUUGCCUGUUUGCUGGGUUAUCUCACUGCUUUGGGCAGCAGCUAGACUGCCACCACAACACCCCCUGGAUUCUCCUUCAGCUUCUCCAUCCCUUGGGUCAGUUCUAGCAUUGGACAUGAAGAUAGCAGCCUUACCGAAGGAAAGAGCAUGAGUAGGGGAAGAGCAGAGAGAGGGAGACACAGAAUCCGAAGCAGGCUCCGGGCUCUGACCUGUCAGCACAGAAUCCAAUGCGGGGCUCGAACUUACAAACUUGUGAGAUCAUGACCUGAGCUGAAGUCAAGACACUUAGCCGACUGAACCACCCAGGCGGGCCUGACGUUGGGCUAGAUUUGAAGAUCUUGUGGCUCCUUCCCUCAUAGGUCCACCCUGACCCCACGGAAUGCUGGAUUAUUUUCUUCACCCUCUUGGUCUGCCAUUGGCAUCCCAGAUUGUCUUCAGUCAGAUCACAUGGGUUAUGAUUAAGGGAUUCUAUCUCUUUGCCAACAUCUGCAGAACAUUUCUGUGAAAAAUAUCCAAUGGUUAUUCAGACUUCUUCAUCUGUAUAGAAACUUCCAGGUGCUCAGCCAGACUGACUGACAGCUGCUUCUUAAACAUCAUCAAAAUGAACACCAAUAAAGGAAAAUUAGCCUGGGAGAAGAUGUGUAGCAUUCCCAGUAACAAAUUUAUGGACAUCUGUAGGUAGGUCUGGGUUUAAAUUCUGGUUCAAACAUAUACACACCAAGUAACAUACUUAAGCUAUUUGAGCCUUCUCUAUCUCGUUUAUAAGGUAAGUGGAAUAAAAUUAAUUCUUGAGAUUGUGGUUAAAAUGAAGUAAGACAAAUUCUUGGAACAUUAUAAGUAUUUAAUAAAUGGUAGUUACCAUCAUCAUUAUCAUUUAAAUGUUCAUCAGAGAAUAAGAUUCUGAAUUGUGUCUGUUACCUAUUCUUCCUAUCUAUCUUCUCUGAUAUUGAAGAUAAAUAAUACUCAACUUGAAAGGUACAAAUAUUUAGAGGAUAGAGGUCAAGCAGUAGUUGUGUAAUCUCAGGCAGUAAGCUCAGAGACACUUGAAUACUGACCAGUAGUUUAAAUAAUUGUUAAUUUGGGGGGCGGGGGAAUCACGACAGAAGGAAUAUUUACAUUAGGAGCUAUGAAGACUUAAAAGCCAUAUAUGUAGCAAGUAAAUUAACAUUUCAGAAUUAAAAAAAAUUCCUUCCUGAACUGGUGUCAAUUUUUAUGUCAGGAGACCUCACUCCUCACUCAUUUCCUUAUGCUUUAGAAAUUUUAGAGACCAGAAGUGAACUGGUCAUUAACUACAUUCCUGUUCUGUUGAUUUCCAGUCCCCAAGAGUAAAUUCAGUAAAAUGAAGACAAAUGUAAGAUUUCAAUGGCAACCAUAUUUUGGGGCUAAUUUUGAUUAGAUUUCAUAAAUACUUCUUCCAUCGCACAAAGAUUUUUGAGCUCAGGUAAUGUAAUUUUCAGAAAAAUUUCUUUCUUGUAAAGUAAUAGUUGUAGUCUAGAUGUUGAAAGCAAAAACAAAAGCAUGGUCUCUUUGUAAAGUAUGUUUUGUGGUACAUUGGCCUCUUUAACCAAACACACACAUAGUUCGUAAUCACCAUUGAGUAACACUAUUUGGUGAAACAGAAUUAAUUUUCUGAGGACUUAAUAAUAAUUCAUUAGGAGAACAGAAGUCAAAAUUAACGAUCCCAAUCCUAGAUGUGAAGAACUUGUACUUUACCUUUUUAGAACUGUUUGUGAAUUCUAUAUAGAAGAAACUUGAACUGUUUGGCUAUAAUUAGCUUUUGAUUGUAAAAAAAAUUGAGUAGAAUUGCUUCCUCAAACAUAUUUCUUUAAUAUGGGAAAGAACACACAGAUGUGCUGUGAUUACACUGAAAACAUAUGAAUUCAUUUGUCCGGUUUAUUUUAGGAAAUAUUUUGAGGAUUAUUGCCCAAAGGGUAAAACCCAAGCAGUUGAAACCUUUAGAACAUGAAUGACUUUUUGAAAACAUUUUUACACUAUCUAGAGGGAAUGAUGCCCAGAAAUAAUAUCGUGAAAGAUUUAAUAUAUAAGACAUUCCAUGAUGGAUUCUCUUCUCAGAAUGACUCUCAUGUUGACCAAUGACAUAAAAAGGCUGGAUUAUGGAUGGGUUGUUUAGAAAACACCGCUUGAUUGUUUCAUGGGUAAAUCUACUUUGAAUACAAGCCGUUUAUUGUGCUUAAACUGUACCUCAAUAAAGUCAAGAGAAAGUAAAUCACUACCAAGUGUGAGAUAAAAAAGAUUGGGGAUCAUAUGAAAAGAGGAGAAAGCUGCUUCCCCUUCCACAACACAGAAUAUGGUAUGACUGAGUUUCAGGUUGGAAGAGGAGAAGGAAUUGGGAAGAUAAUUUUUGGAAAAAAAGUAAGCUAACUGCUUUUCCUGCCUCCAGUUGUCUUUGAGGUGGAGGGCAGGGAAUAGAAGAGAGGAAAUAGAAAAAGGUUAUAUAUGUCGGAGAGCUGAAGGAGGUAUCAAGAUCCUGGGAUUUUGCUGCGUGAAGACAGAAGCCUUGUAGACCUGUCCAGCAGCUCUAAUGUGAGAGAAAGAGCUAACAGGAUAGAAGCACAAGGUUCCUAUGAAGCUUCCCUUGGGCCUGAGAAUGGUAUGGAAUAGACAUGAAUGUUUUUGCCUGUCCAGGUAAUGAGGAGGUUGGCAGAAGCAAGGGAGUGGAUAAAUCAGACGUGCUAGUCACAUGUAAGCAGAGCUGAAACAUUAAAGUAAUGGUUAUUUUGAGGGGUGGGAAGGUAGGACAAUAGAAGUGAUUGCCAUUUAUCAGUCUGCCCCAGACACCAGAAUAGUCUACAAAUGUUGGCAGCCAGGAGUUUCAUAAAGGAACAGCUACAGACCACGUAAGCCUCACAGGCUUACACCUCCAUCAUGCCUCAUGGUCAGUAAGCCUCACCUCCUAACUUUGAGAAGAAAGAUGAGAAUCCGUCAAAAUGGGGAAUGUUGAAAUUUGGAUUUCUAAAAUCUUAAAUGGGCUUUUUAUGUAAAAAAAAAAACAACAACACUUAAAUUUUCAUUACUGAUCUGAAUUCCACAUUGAGAGACGAAGACAGAAUUAGUCCUAAAUUCUGUGGACAAUUAUAAUUGAAAAUAUUUUUGAUCUCAGAAAGAAUUGGAGAAUAUAUAUAGUGAAAAAAAACCAAAAAACAAAAAGGAAACAAAAUAAACAAGCUAGAAUAAUCCCUACUGGUAUAGAUUCUAAAACAGCUCUUUUGUUCAUUACAUCUGUAUUAAGCUAUAUAUCUUAACUGUUACAGUCCAUAGCAAUAGUCUGUCUUUCCUUGCUAUGUUUAUAGUCCCAGUUAUGUGAAACUGUAUUUGAAACCAAAUCUUAUAUCUUAAUUUGUUUGUAAUAAGGAAAUAAAAUGAAAGAAGAACAUAUAUUUCCUUUUUUUUUUUUUUUACAAAAAAUACCAUUAAAAUUAGGAAGGAAAUGAGCAAAUGUAGUAAAUAGAUUUACUUAGUAAAUAUAUCAUUCAUAUCUCAAAAUUCCAUUGAAUUAAUGCCAAAUAUUUUGAAAGUAAUAUUUUGAUCACAAAUCUUGUUUUUAAUUUUUGCAUUUAUAUGUAUUUGCAAAGCUACAUAGAUUCAUAUAUAUGGCCCUCAGUAUACCAAUGCAUGAAGAUAAAUUAAUUUUUUAAAGUUUAGGUUAUGAUAUAUUUAAGGUUUGCCUAAUAUGCUUGGCUAGUUUUCAUCAAUAUUCUUUGAGAUCUUAAUCUUUUAAUAAAGUCAAAAUAUAUAUACUAAUACAAUGAAGUUAACACAAUCCUUUAAUAAAUCUAUACAAGCGUUUGAAUUCUAUGGUAAUCUUUUUUUUAAAUCAAAGAUGAUUAAUUAGCUAUUUAUGUAUCCUUUUAUGCUAAAGUUUUCUUCACAUGACACUGGAUUAGUUCCCUUAAGAUUCACAGCUCCUAUGUUUUGCUGUUACUCAGUUUAUGAAGCUUUAAAGCAGCUUAGUAUUCUCCUAAAUCAUUCUGUCACUUGGGAUCCAUCCCUAAUUUCUCACAUUUAUCCAUUAAUGUGCAGCCUUUCUAGUAUAAUAAGUCCUUGGGAAAUUCACACUGAAAUAUUUCCUUUCCUGUAUUUCUCUGUAUAAUACAACAGUGUUCUGAAAUUUGCCAUUUAAAUAGUAGCUAAAUUAAAGUCCAGAGCUGUUGUCAUGUUGGUGAUGACUAAAGAAACUCAGAUACUUCUAUCCAGAAUUCUUCUUUCCUGUGUCCUAUGAAUAAAACAUUAGUGAAUUCAAUGUAUCUUUCUAACUUCGGGUUUGUUUGCAAAAUUUAAGUUUAUGAAAUGAAAAUAUGUCCCUAAAGGCACGUUAUCAGUGUUAAUGCUUUUCCCAUUUUGUUCCUUCUUAUGACUGAGAACCUACCUUGAUUGUCACUAUCAGCCAUUUAAAUAUUAUUACAGAUCUUUUCUAUCUACAUUAUUCUUUUUCUCCAUGGCAUCCAAAUACAUUUUUCUAAUAGCAGGAAUACAUGUCCCUAUGGCUAAAAUGGGACCCAACAUCUACUGAAAAUUCCUUACAAGUAUAAAGAAACACCGGCUGGAGAGUUGUUUGUUAUGAAAGGACAUCAGAGAAGUAGAGCAGAAAAGGCUUGGUCUUGUAUGGAUGGUAUCAUAUUCUAAUGUCAUGCUCAAGAAAUCUAGUUUUGAUUUUAAGUCUCCUCAGCCUAGAACAUCAGGUACCUCUCUGCUUUCAUUGGGGUAUGUUAAGGGCAGGUGUUUUGGUCAUUUUUGUGCUUGGCUUAUAAUAGGUGUUCCAUAAAUGUUGACUGAAGACUAGGCAGACUUUUGACUGUGGGGACACAGAGUGAUUAUUGAAAGGUCGGGAUCUAGGAAUGGUAUGACAGCUUGUUCACCUCCAGUGGAAAAAGAUUUGAGUCACUUAAGGGGAAGUACUUGAUCAUUUUGCUUGAGGUCAAUGCUGGUUGUAGAGAUGAACAGUAAAAUGAGAGCAUUGUAGGAGAGUGUUUGUACUUGGUUAGACCAUUAGAGUGUGGUAUUUCACCCACAACCUACGGCCUUAGUAAGUAAUGACGUAAUCCUCAAUUCACGAACAAGAAAAUGAAAGGAUGAGGCUUGGCUGCAUGGGUUCAUUCUUCAUCCAUUGUGUGGUGCUUUCCUGUGUGGAUGUCCACUCACUAAGUGUAAGGAGCCCUCUCCAUCUUUCCCGUGGGCAAGAUCUUCCACAGCACCAAUACCAGUAGUGUAAUUACUUAGAGUUGUACACUGCCUGCUGUUUACAAAGCCUUUUCACAUGCCUUUCACGCACAAUAUCUUACAUUAUAUAACAACUCUGAGAGGUUCCCACGACAGGCAAUUAUUGCCAUUCUGAAUAUGACAAAAAUUGCUUUGCGAAAUAUUAAGAGACUUGACCAAGUAUAUAUGGUGAUAAUAGAAGGCAUUCGACUCAAAUGAAUCUUCUAGCUGUAAAUCCAGUGCUCUUUCCAGAAUACCAAGAUAAUUUCAGUAAUUAAAGAGUAACUAUUAAUCGUAGACUGGGUGUUAAGUGUUCUCAUUUUGAAAAUAGUCUCCUAUGAUAAUCAUAUACAUGAAUCCUGACUUUUGCUUGAUUUUCUUUCCUGCCUUCCCUUCUCCUUCCUCAGAUAUAUUAUCUUAUGUGGCUCAGUAGCUUGGCUAAUGCCUAUUAAUAGGAAGCUAAUAUUAGAAUAUUCAUUGAACUAUUUCUUUGUUUAAAUGAAGAUUUGUACUUUUCUGCAAUCAAAUAGCAUCUUCUGUGCCUAGUCAGCUGGCAAGUUUUACAAAAGUAUAAACACUAUACUUUUAAGAUCUAAGCUAAUUGACAGGAAUGAGUGACUAUAAUUCACUUGAGAACUCUUAGGAAAAAAUGAUUAGAGAUGACACAAAACAUGUGUAGGGUCCUGUUUGUAGUUGUUCCCAAUGUACAGCUAUUAACCUUAAGUGCAUUGGUUGGUACCUAGCAUAUUACUGAAAUAGGGGAAAAAUGAAAUAAAAUCAGAAAAGAUUAGAAGUGAAAUACUCAUUACUUGUGUUUAAUUGAGAGACUAUUAUGUUCCAGGCUGUAGUGCUCAGAUAAUCAUUUAAGCUUUAUGUUAUAUUUCAAGUGUAUUAAUUUAUUUUGAGAUAUAGAGAGAACCAGCAGGGAAGGGGCAGAAAGAGGGGAGGGGACAGAGGAUCCAAAGCAGGCUCUGUGCUGAGAGCAGAGAGCCUAAUGUGGG